UACGUAGGGUGCAAGCGUUGUCCGGAAUUAUUGGGCGUAAAGAGCUCGUAGGCGGUCUGUCGCGUCUGCUGUGAAAACUCAGGGCUUAACCCUGAGCUUGCAGUGGGUACGGGCAGACUAGAGUGCGGUAGGGGAGACUGGAAUUCCUGGUGUAGCGGUGAAAUGCGCAGAUAUCAGGAGGAACACCGGUGGCGGAGGCGGGUCUCUGGGCCGUAACUGGACGCUGAGGAGCGAAAGCAUGGGGAGCGAACAGG
rnacentral:rRNA from 1 species